rnacentral:rRNA from 1 species
GAGCACGUAGGUGGGUUUGUAAGUCAGAUGUGAAAGCCUUCUGUUCAACGGAAGAAUUGCAUCUGAAACUGCUAAUCUUGAGUAUAGGAGGGGAGAAUGGAACUUCUGGUGGAGCGGUGAAAUGCGUAGAUAUCAGAAGGAACGCCGGCGGCGAAAGCGAUUCUCUGGCCUAUUACUGACACUCAGUGCGCGAAAGCUAGGGGAGCAAACGGGAUUAGAUACCCCGGUAGUCCUAGCCGUAAACGAUGGGCACUAAGUAGAGGGGUUUUAA